UAUCGUGGUGACGUGAGCGGUCACCGUCAACGUCGCGAGAAGUCCACUGAACCUUAUCAUUUAGAGGAAGGAGAAGUMGUAACAAGGUUUCUGUAGGUGAACMUAUGAAAGGAUUAUUGUCGAC
rnacentral:rRNA from 1 species